AUUGAACGCUGGCGGCAGGCCUAACACAUGCAAGUCGAACGAGUGGCGGACGGGUGAGUAAUGUCUGGGAAACUGCCCGAUGGAGGGGGAUAACUACUGGAAACGGUAGCUAAUAGCGCAUACCAUGGGAUGUGCCCAGAUGGGAUUAGCUAAUAGGUGGGGUAAUUGCUCACCUAGGCGACGAUCCCUAGCUGGUCUGAGAGGAUAACCAGCCACACUGGAACUGAGAUACGGCCCAGACUCCGACGGGAGGCAGCAGUGGGGAAUAUUGCACAAUGGGCGCAAGCCUGAUACAGCCAUGCCGCGUGUAUGAAGAAGGCCUUCGGGUUGUAAAGUACUUUCAGUGAGGAGGCGUUACUCGCAGAAGAAGCACCGGCUAACUCCGUGCCAGCAGCCGCGGUAAUAC
rnacentral:rRNA from 1 species